GANUCUNGUAGANGGGGGUNNAAUCCAGNGNAGNNGUGAAUGCGUAGAAGAUCUGANAUNNNNGGCNNNCNCCCCUGACGAGACUGACGCUCAGGUNNGAAAGCGNGGGAGCAACAGGAUAGAUACCUGGUAGNCACGCGUAAACGAUGUCGACUUGGAGGUUGUGCCCUGAGGCGUGGCUUCCGGAGCUAACGCGUUAAGUCGACCGCUGGGGGGUACGGCCGCAAGGUUAAAACUCAAAUGAAUUGACGGGGGCCCGCACAAGCGGUGGAGCAUGUGGUUUAAUUCGAUGCAACGCGAAGAACCUUACCUGGUCUUGACAUCCACGGAAGUUUUCAGAGAUGAGAAUGUGCCUUCGGGAACCGUGAGACAGGUGCUGCAUGGCUGUCGUCAGCUCGUGUUGUGAAAUGUUGGGUUAAGUCCCGCAACGAGCGCAACCCUUAUCCUUUGUUGCCAGCGGUCCGGCCGGGAACUCAAAGGAGACUGCCAGUGAUAAACUGGAGGAAGGUGGGGAUGACGUCAAGUCAUCAUGGCCCUUACGACCAGGGCUACACACGUGCUACAAUGGCGCAUACAAAGAGAAGCGACCUCGCGAGAGCAAGCGGACCUCAUAAAGUGCGUCGUAGUCCGGAUUGGAGUCUGCAACUCGACUCCAUGAAGUCGGAAUCGCUAGUAAUUGUGGAUCAGAAUGCCACGGUGAAUACGUUCCCGGGCCUUGUACACACCGCCCGUCACACCAUGGGAGUGGGUUGCAAAAGAAGUAGGUAGCUUAACCUUCGGGAGGGCGCUUACCACUUUGUGAUUCAUGACUGGGGUGAAGUCGUAACAAGGUAACCGUAGGGGAACCUGCGGCUGGAUCACCUCCUU
rnacentral:rRNA from 1 species